AUGUCACAAGCAAAGCUCAUCCUCGCAACGGUGACGGCACUUCAGCUCCUCAUGGCGACAGCCGUCGCCGCCGUCCAGGUAGCCUUACCUGGGUGCCCGCAGGCCUGCGGCAACGUCACCGUCCCCUACCCUUUCGGCUUCCGGCGAGGCUGCUUUCGCAAGGGCUUCAACCUCACCUGCGACGAGACGCGCCAUCCACCAAAGCUGCUCCUGGGCGACGGCGUGGAGGUGGACGCCAUCUCCCUGGCGGACGGCACGGUGCAUGUCCAGACCAAGGUCGUGGCAUUCCGACCACUUUACACAAACGGUGCCGUCGGCGCGAGGAGAUCUAUCGACUACAACUACUCGUGGUACGGCGGCCUGCCGGAAGUGUACAAGAGCGGCGCGCAGCUCGCGGUGUCCACGGAGCACAACGUCUUUGUGGCCAUCGGGUGCAACUUCAUCGGCUACCUCGUCGCAGUCAGCGAUGGGGGGCGCGAGUAUGUCAGCACGUGCUCCACGCUGUGCAACGGGAAAACCCGGGACGCCUUGUGCACGGGCGUCGGCUGCUGCUGGACGACCAUCGCGCAGCGCUACCCCGGGUACCAGGUAAUGUUCAAGGAUUUGGACGAUACGGUGACAGCGUACACGGGCCAAAGCCGUGCGUCGGUGGCCGCGUUCAUAGUCGAUCGCGAGUGGUUCGUAGGCACCAUGCAGAACACUGUCAGCUUCAAUGAUUUCGUCAAUGAUGAUUUCGGUAACGGUCCGUCCAGCAUGCCCACCGUUCUGCAAUGGUGGCUAGACGUAGAUAGCGACCGUGACUUGGUCGUGAAGGAUCCACGUUCUGCAUCUCGUUGGAGAUGCAUAAGCUCCAACAGCUUCGCUGCCUACAUCGGCGACGCAGUGAACAAAGUAAGGUGCAACUGCUCGGAUGGAUACGAAGGCAACUCGUACAUCGUUGACGGAUGUCAAGAUAUCGAUGAGUGCUUACGACCAGAUGUUUAUCCCUGCCAUGGAACAUGCAUCAAUAUGCCAGGGACAUACCGAUGCUCAGCAAAGAAAAGAAUCAUCAGCUUAGCAGGUCUAAUUACCAUAAUAGCAAUUGUUGCUGGUUUUGGCCUACUAUUUUCACUCCUAGGUGUUGCCCAAGUCACAAAAAAACUCAAGAAACGAAGAGCCAAGAAGACCAGACAAAAAUUCUUUAAGAAAAACCAUGGACUGCUUCUGCAACAGUUAAUCUCUUCGAACAAAGAUAUAGCCGAAAAGAUGAAGAUUUUUAGCUUAGAAGAGCUAGAACAAGCAACCAACAAAUUUGAUCAUAAUCGGAUACUUGGCGGCGGUGGGCAUGGCACAGUGUAUAAAGCCAUCUUAUCUGAUCAACGUGUCGUGGCCAUCAAGAAGGCCAAAAUUGUUGUGCAGAGGGAAAUCGACCAGUUUAUAAAUGAGGUUGCCAUACUUUCACAGAUAAACCAUAGGAAUGUGGUGAAACUUUUUGGUUGUUGUCUCGAGACAGAAGUUCCUCUAUUAGUUUAUGAGUUCAUAUCGAAUGGAACUCUCUCUUGUCAUCUCCAUGGCCAAAGUGAGAACCAUUUGUCAUGGAAAACUCGAUUGAGGAUAGCAUUGGAAACUGCAAGGGCCAUUGCAUAUCUACACUCUGCUGCUUCAAUAUCAGUAUACCACAGAGAUAUCAAAUGUGCCAAUAUUCUACUUACUGAUACUUUAACAUCAAAAGUAUCGGAUUUUGGAGCUUCAAGGUCAAUUGCAAUAGACGAGACAGGAAUACUUACAGCUGUUCAAGGAACCCAUGGUUACCUUGAUCCUGAAUACUACUACACUAGUCGACUCACGGAGAAAAGCGAUGUUUACAGCUUUGGUGUCAUCCUAGCAGAGUUACUGACAAGGGUGACACCAGUUUUUCAUUCCCAUUCGUCAGAAGUCACAAGCCUAGCAUCGCAUUUUGUGUCUCUUAUAAGGGACAAUCGAUUAUUAGAUAUUCUGGAUACAAAAAUUGUUGAGGAGGGAGGGGCUGAAGAUGCUGAGGUGGUUGCAAGACUGGCAGAAGCAUGCUUAAGUUUAAAAGGUGAAGAAAGGCCUACAAUGAGACAAGUGGAGACAACGCUUGAGGAUGUUCAGAACUCAACAGUCAAUCUUAGUUCUCAGAUCACAAGAGUGAACCAGAAUGCUAUAAAUGAUCAGUCAUACAAGGGAAGCAAAGGCGGAGAAGGAACCAGACUGUACAGCUUGGAAAAAGAGUUCAUCCAAUCAUCUGAAAUUCCAAGAUGA
rnacentral:rRNA from 1 species